AGAGGUCCCGCCUGCCCUGUGACUAUAUGUUUAACGGCCGCGGUAUUUUGACCGUGCGAAGGUAGCGCAAUCACUUGUCUUUUAAAUGGAGACCUGUAUGAAUGGCAUAACGAGGGCUUAGCUGUCUCCUCUUUCAAGUCAAUGAAAUUGAUCUCCCCGUGCAGAAGCGGGGAUAAUCUCGUAAGACGAGAAGACCCUAUGGAGCUUUAGACACCAAAGCAGAUCAUGUUAAACACCCUUAAAUAAAAGAUCAAACAAGAUGAAACCUGCCCUAAUGUCUUUGGUUGGGGCGACCGCGGGGAAACACAAAACCCCCACGUGGAAUGGGACUACCCGUCCUACAGCUACAGAGCUUCCGCUCUAAGCAACAGAAUUUCUGACCAAUAAGAUCCGGCUAAAGCCGAUCAACGGACCGAGUUACCCUAGGGAUAACAGCGCAAUCCUCUUUUAGAGCCCAUAUCGACAAGAGGGUUUACGACCUCGAUGUUGGAUCAGGACAUCCUAAUGGUGCAGCCGCUAUUAAGG
rnacentral:rRNA from 1 species